AUGGCCAUAUCACAUUGAAAUACUGGUUCUCAUAUGAUCAGCAAAGUUAAGCAACAUUGAGCCUGGUCAAUACCUAGAUGAGUAACUACUUGGGAAUACCAUGUGCUGUA